GAUGAAGACGUAGCGAAAUGCGAUAAGUAGUGUGAAUUGCAGAAUUCCGUGAAUCAUCGAAUCUUUGAACGCACAUUGCGCCUUCUGGUAUUCCGGAAGGCAUGCCUGUUCGAGAGUCAUUAACAACCGUUUCGAUCCCUUUCUUUCAGAAAUUACAAAGAGGAAAAGGGUUUGGUUAUGGUGGAGGAGGGAAAGGGAGCGUUUAGCCUGUAAAAAAAGAGGCUGUGUUCCGCCUCCCCCCCAAAAUUGUACAGGCGGUCGUGUGCGCCCACGCAUCGAGGUGUUGUAAAAGCUGCCACGGCACUUUUCACCUGUGCAGUGCGAGAUUGGCCAGCCGGUUUAAAAACCCCUCCAAACAAUCAAAGGUUGACCUCGGAUCAGGUAGGGAUACCCGCUGAACUUAAGCAUAUCAAUAAGCGGAGGA
rnacentral:misc_RNA from 1 species